rnacentral:rRNA from 1 species
CAGGGCUUAAAUGUAGUCUGACAGGGGUGGAAACACCCUUUUCUUCGGACAGAUUACAAGGUGCUGCAUGGUUGUCGUCAGCUCGUGCCGUGAGGUGUCAGGUUAAGUCCUAUAACGAGCGCAACCCCUGUUGUUAGUUGCCAGCGAGUCAAGUCGGGAACUCUAACAAGACUGCCGGUGCAAACCGUGAGGAAGGUGGGGAUGACGUCAAAUCAUCACGGCCCUUACGUCCUGGGCCACACACGUGCCACAAUGGCAGGUACAAUGGGCAGCCACUGCGUAAGCAGGAGCGAAUCCACAAAACCUGUCUCAGUUCGAAUCGGGGUCUGCAACUCGACCCCGUGAAGCUGGAAUCGCUAGUAAUCGGAUAUCAGCCAUGAUGCGGUGAAUACGUUCCC